CCUAGAUGAUCUUGCCAGUAGUCAUAUGCUUGUCUCAAAUAUUAAGCCUUGCAUGUGUAAGUAUGAACUAAUUCACAUUGUGAAACUAUGAAUGCUCUAUAGAUUAGUUAUAGUUCGUUUGAUGGUAUCUACUACUUGGAUAACCUAGUUAUCCUAGAGCUAAUAUCUACAACAAACCCUAACUUCUAGAAGGGAUGCAUUUAUUAGAUAAAAAGGUCGACGAAAGCAUUGUCUAUUACUCUAAUGAUUCCUAAUAACUCGAUAGACCGGACAACUUUUGUGCUAGCGAUACAUAAUUCAAAAUUUUGACCUGUCAACUUUUGAUAGUAGGAUAGUGGCCUACUGUGGUGGUAAUGGGUGACAGAGAUUAGGGUUCGAUUUCGAAAAUGGAGCCUAAGAAAUAGCUACCACAUCCCAGGAAGGCAAUAAUUAUGCAAAUUACCCAAUCUUGACACAGAGAGGUAGUGACAAUAAAUAACAAUACCAAGCUUUAUGAGUUUGGUAAUUGGAAUGAAUACAUUCUAAAUCCCUUAACAUUGAUCAAUUGGAGGGAAAGUCUGGUGCUAAGCACCGAUCUACUUGUCCCUAUUACCAGUAAUGCACUCCCUAGCCUUAACUACCGAGUUGUUCCUUUAGCAUUAUUACUUUGAAGAAAUUGGAGUGCUCAAAACAGGCUUAUGCUUGAAUACAUUGGCAUGGGAUAACAUCAUAGGAUUUUGAUCCUAUUGUAUUGGCAUUCAGGAUUGGAGUAAUGAUUAACUGGGAUAGUCAGGGGCAUUUGUAGUUCAUAUUCAGAGGUGAAAUUCUUGGAUUUAUGAAAGAUGAACAACUACGAAAGCAUUUGCCAAGGAUGUUUUCAUUAAUCAAGAAUAAAAGUUGAGCGCUUGAAGACAAUUAGAUACUGUUCUAGUCUCAACCAUAAACAAUGUCAACCAGGGAUCGAUGGUUGUUACAUUUAAGACUUUAUCAGCACCUUAUGAGAAAUCAAAGUUUUUGGGUUCUAGGAGGAGUAUGGUUGCAAGGCUGAAACCUAAAGGAAUUUAUGGGAGGGCACCACUAAGAGUGGAGCUUAUGGCUUAAUUGGACUCAAUAUGAGGAAACUUACAAGGUCCAGACAUAGUAGGGAUUAACAAACUGAAAGCUCUUUCUUGAUUCUAUGGGUGGUGGUGCAUGGCCAUUCUUAGUUGGUAGAGUAAUUUAUCUAGUGAAUUCCAUUAAUGAAUGAGACCUUAGCUUGUUAACUGGCAAUAUAGAGGUGAUCUUUCAUGUCUAGCUUCUUAGAAGGACUUUGGUCACUUAGGCCAAGGAAGUUUGUAGCCAUAACAAGUCUAGGAUGCCCUUAGAUGUUUUGGGCCGCAUGCGUGCUACACUGAUGUAUUCAACGAGUCUAUAGCCUUGGUCAACAAGCUCGAAUAAUCUUUGAAAUUUCAUCAUGAUGGAGAUAGAUCAUUGUAAUUUUUGGUUUUCAACAAGGAAUUCCUUGUAAGUGUGAGUCAUCAACUCACAUUGACUACAUCCCUUCCCUUUGUACACACCACUCGUCACUCUUAUUGAUUGAAUGAUGUGGUGAAAUGUUUGGAUCGUGGCAACGUGGAUGGUUUGCUACCCAUGACAUCAUGAUAAGUCCACUGAACCUUGUCAUUAAAGUAAGGAGAAGUUAUAAAAAGGUUUUUGUAGGUGAACCUACAGAAG
rnacentral:rRNA from 1 species